rnacentral:rRNA from 1 species
UCCGUAGGUGAACCUGCGGAAGGAUCAUUACAGAAAUAGGAGAAGGUUGCUUAACCGCAAUCCUUUUCUUUCUACACAUGUGUUUUUCUUUUUUUUGAAAACUUUGCUUUGGUGGGCCCACGGCCUGCCAGAGAUUAAACUCAACCAAAUUUUUAUUUAAUUGUCAACUUGAUUAACUAAUAGUCAAAACUUUCAACAACGGAUCUCUUGGUUCUCGCAUCGAUGAAGAACGCAGCGAAAUGCGAUAAGUAAUAUGAAUUGCAGAUAUUCGUGAAUCAUCGAAUCUUUGAACGCACAUUGCGCCCUUUGGUAUUCCAAAGGGCAUGCCUGUUUGAGCGUCAUUUCUCCCUCAAACCUUCGGGUUUGGUGUUGAGCGAUACGCUGGGUUUGCUUGAAAGAAAGGCGGAGUAUAAACUAAUGGAUAGGUUUUUUUUCCACUCAUUGGUACAAACUCCAAACAUUCUUCCAAAUUCGACCUCAAAUCAGGUAGGACUACCCGCUGAACUUAAGCAUAUCAAUAAGCGGAGA